CACACGACUCUCAGCAACGGAUAUCUCGGCUCUCGCAUCGAUGAAGAACGUAGCGAAAUGCGAUACCUGGUGUGAAUUGCAGAAUCCCGCGAACCAUCGAGUCUUUGAACGCAAGUUGCGCCCGAGGCCUCUCGGCCGAGGGCACGCCUGCCUGGGCGUCACGC
rnacentral:rRNA from 1 species